AAAAGAUCAGGAGGUCAAGAUCUACCAAGGAGUUCUCAACUAUGGAACAGAUUCCCAAGCCCCAACUGAGACGUCCUGAAUCUGAACAUCCAAGAUGUGAAUUUGAGAAGUCUCUGUUAAAAAAAAGCUGGCGCAUGUCUCCCUCGGACAAAGCCACUGGGAAGUGCAGGCACUCGGAUUGGUGAACCAGAACCGUUACCCUGGAAGAUUAGUCCUGAGCUAACAUCCACCACCAAUCCUCCCCUUUUUUGCUGAGGAAGAUUGGCCUUGAGCUAACAUCUGUGCCCAUCUUACUCUGUUUAUGUGUGGGAUGCCUGCCAUAGCAUGGCUUGAUAAGCUGUGUGUAGGUCCAUGGCUGGGAUCUGAACUGACAAACUCCAGGAGGCUGAAGCAGAGCGUGUGAACCUAACCACUACACCACUGCACUGGCCCCUUAAGUGAUAAAUUUUGACUGUGAAGAGGAAAACAUGGAUUCAUUCAAACUCACCCCUCUCAUUUCUCUUAGUGCAGGGUGUUUGGGAUUCUGUGACCCUAAUUAUGUGAAUAUAUAUUAAAUGAGUA
rnacentral:lncRNA from 1 species